rnacentral:ncRNA from 3 species
AAAAAGUGAAUCUAGGUUCCCAUUUCUACGUUAGUAGAAAGUUUGGUCCAAGCGAUUCACAUAUUCAUUUUUGAAAAGAAGUGGAUAUGACACCGAAGGGAUAAAAGCCCAGGCGGG